ensembl:lncRNA novel transcript, antisense to OR2AP1, OR6C4, OR6C68 & OR6C2
CCCACACCACAUAUUGAGAAAACUAGAAGAGAAUGAACUUGGCCAGAGGAGAAUGAAAUGGCUUGAUAUAGAUGAAGAUGCAGCUGCCAUAAGUGAUGGAAACCACAGUAAUAUGUGAAGAACAGUUGUUCAUGUAUUCUAGAGGAAAAGAAAGGAAUAUCAUUAUAUACUGCUUAUGGGAUUCUGUGCUGCGGAGAUCAUUACGGAAGCAACAGUAGCAGGUGGCCUGGCCAUACAGGGAUUCCUUACUCGCAGCAGAGAAUGUUGCUGCCACUCAAAGUCACCAGGGGCUGAAGAGCUCCUGUGGAGACCCACAUCAUCUAACAACACACAUACUCAAAACAGGGAAAUGUGCAUUUUCGGGAGAGGAAGAGACAAACCUUUUGUUUAGCUAACUGGCAUGACAGAGUGUGACAUACAUGUGCUCCUGGAAGAACGGUGUUGGGUGUCUGCACUCAAAAUCUUGAGCAUAGGCAACUGGAUGAAGGGCUCUGUGGCAUUGAUUUUCAUUGUGUGUGUGUUAAUAUUUACAUUUAUAAUUAAAUAAAUAAUCGA